AUACGGAGGAUCCGAGCGUUAUCCGGAUUUAUUGGGUUUAAAGGGAGCGUAGGCGGACUAUUAAGUCAGCUGUAAAAGUUUGCGGCUCAACCGUAAAAUUGCAGUUGAUACUGGUCGUCUUGAGUGCAGUAGAGGUAGGCGGAAUUCGUGGUGUAGCGGUGAAAUGCUUAGAUAUCACGAAGAACUCCGAUUGCGAAGGCAGCUUACUGGACUGUAACUGACGCUGAUGCUCGAAAGUGUGGGUAUCAAACAGGAUUAGAUACCCUGGUAGUCCACACAGUAAACGAUGAAUACUCGCUGUUUGCGAUAUACGGCAAGCGGCCAAGCGAAAGCAUUAAGUAUUCCACCUGGGGAGUACGCCGGCAACGGUGAAACUCAAAGGAAUUGACGGGG
rnacentral:rRNA from 1 species